ensembl:lincRNA
ACAUAAUUUUUUUUUUUAUGUAAUAUUUUUACAGAAUCAAAAAAAAAAAACAAAACAAAAAAACUCGCGGCGGCCGGGCUUCUGGCAGUCUGAGACCGCUUCGCCCGGCACCUCCCCCGGCUCCGCCCCGCGGAAGUGUUUGCCCACGUUCUAGAGCGCUGAUUGGCCCUUCGGCUCAGGGGGCGGAGCUCGCGGCAGGCGCGGUGCGUACUUCCGGCCGCCGGGUAGAUCUGAGGAAGCAGCGGCGGGGGCGGCGGAAGCGGGUGAGGUCUGCCUUUGCAGCGGGACCUGCGGCUGAACGCUGGACGCGGCCCGGGACGACAGACGGCGCAGUGAGCCGCGGAGGAGGCGCGGCAGCAGCCCGCGUUCGUCAUGGAGAUGGAAAGGGAGUUCAGCAGAUCGACGAGGCCGGGCACUGGGCGGCCGUUUACCAGUCUCAGUGCGUGUCGAGUCCCAAGAACGGCAGAGUCCCGGUCCCCCUUCCUGUUCAUUCAUUUGAUGAUGUGAAUUGGCGUGUCGCUGCGGAGCUUGGUACUGCCCUGGGCGCUGGAGAGUGUUGAAUCCUAUUAUCCUUCACGGAGCUUGGAGUCGAAUAAGCGGUCCGGCAAACACAAAUAAUUUCAGAUGGUGACAGGCCUUGUGAAGAAAAGAAAACGUUGCAGCGGGGUAGAGAGCCGCUGGAUGGAAGGUGGGUUACCUGUGUGAGGGGCAUCGCCCACGGUUUGUCAGAGGAGGAGACGUUUGCUCUGAGCAGAGUGAGGAGGAGCAGCAAACCAUAAGACUGUCAGGCCAGAGUUUUCCUACGAGGAGGCCUGCAAUACCUCCCUCCUUCGUGGCUAAAAUAUUGCCCUUUCAGUCAGGGACUAUGGAACCUUAACGUUUUAUCCUCAGUAAAUCGCGUCUUUCCCCAGCUUUGCUCUUUGGUCUUGGCUGAGAUCUAUCUUUGAGUCCUCAUCUACUUUGGAUUGUGGUGGGACAUAAAUUAAAAAUAAGCAAGGUAGGGUUUCUCGCAUAUCUCCAAAGCAUCAGAUUCAAUACCCCAGUAGGUCUGUUUUCAGGAAGCUAAAUCCUCUAAAAAAAAUACGUGCUCCCGAUUAAAUGUCAUGCGGGGGUUGUGAGGAUUAAGCAAAACCACACUCUCUAUCUUAAGUAAAGAACAGAAUAGAGAGAUUUUGUUACUUGUGUAAAGAGAGAAGGCAGUUUAUUCUGUUUUCAGUUUAUAGGCCCAGAAGGCAAAUCGUGAGGUCUAUCAGCUGGUAUUAAGAUCUAUUGUGAGCUCCUCUUAAAAAAAGGAAGAAUCUUUAAGCAGUUCUUUGUAUGCUUGACUAAGUCUUGGUUUCAUCUGGAUGUCCAUCAAACUUGUUUGACAGGAUCCUUUUUAUUUGGACUGUAGUAUAGUCUGAUAGUCUAUAUUUUACUGAUGGACUCUUAGAGUGUUGCUAGACCACUGUAAUCUGUAUAAGUAUAUGAUCGAUCAAUUUAUAAAAUUUGUAUUCCAUGUCCAGUUUCUGUAGACUAAUUGAAUUCCACUAGUGUCUUUGAAAAUGUGUAGGCAAAUUUUCUGCAUCCAUUCCUAUGCAGUAGGGUCUAAAAUGACUUUUAAAGUGAAAAUUUUUGGUCUGAAGUGUUGGAAUUGGCUGUGAUCUACUCCAUGAUAAGUGGAGGCAUUGGGACGGAAUCUUUUGUACUGAAAAUGAGCUGGCAGCAACAAAUUUAUACUGUAAAUCUUAGUUGAAUUUAUUUUUCACUGUGUGUUGGGCCAGCGUGGCCAGACCUGUCACCUAAGCAUUGUUAAAAUCGUGUUAAGCACGUUGCUAGGAUAGAGCGUAUUGGUCCUCAAUUAGUUUCUUCAUUGUUCUUAAGUUUCUCUACCACAUUGGAAGAGUUAGUUAGGAUUGCUUUAUGUUGAGAUUUCCCCAGCUUCUUAAUGGAUUAUCACAUUCCUGGAGGUGGUUUCUUUUGACUUUAGAGAAUUGUCUCCUGUGGGCAUUUUUUUUUUCCUCCCCCCCAGCAAGGGAUAUUGUCUUUCCUAAAACUGAAGUCAGAAACUCUUCUUUUUAAGCUCAUAAGCUGUUAUUUUACAACUGUGGCAUUUCAAAAACAGUUCAGAUGACCUUGAGUCUAAAGUGGCAAAUUUUCCAAGUUGUGUGUCAAUUUACCAAACCUAUUAUUUUUCAAGAAUUCAAAGAAAUGUGCUUGCGGUUGGUAGAAAAUGAAAGUUGAAAGAAAACAAUAUUUUACAGCCUUUCAAAAUGAGGGCAGCCUUAUACAAAGUAAUGCUUUGAGCUUGCCUUGUCUGUUACGAUUAGAAAAAUAGGUAAUUUUUAAAAAAAGUUUGAAAACAAGGUAGUGCGGUCAUUUCUCACUAUCCUGGCUUCUAACUAGAACAAGAAGAUGCAAGAAAUUGGAAACAAUUAGGAAAAGAACAGAGGGUGAAGUGGACUUUCGAGUGCUGAGGUGUGUGGCAGCUUAGAAGACAAAAAGGUUUCAGGCAAAAAUGCCGUGCUAGCUCAGUUUGAUAAAGUGAGCAUAAACCAUGUUUUUGAUCAUUAAUGUUAAUAACUAGCACAGACGCUAAGUAUUUUGCUCUAUUAAAAAGUCAGCUUUGAUAGCAUUUUUAGAUGACUUUAUACAGUGUUUUCUAACAUUUAAGCAACUCUAUCUGGUUUGGUGAGCCUUGGGUUUGAGUCUGUCUGGUUGACUGAAAGAGGUGAGAGCAUAGAUAUAAAAUAGAAACUGGUUUUAGAAGCUAGAAUGGGGAAGAAAGGCUUAAAUGAAUGCAAAGGAGAGCGAUAUGCUGCCAUUGAUCUGUAGUUUAAAGAGGGUUUGGGUCAGGUGUUUGCUAAUUCUUUUGCCUCUAAAUUCCUUGCUUCUCUAACACUGUUCACUCUUCAGUGUGAAUGAUUUGAUUGUUUGAGAUGAAGGCGAUUGCAACAAUAGCCCAUGGCUUGAAGGCAAGAUUUAUUCCAUGCCAAAGGUAGGCUUUCUAAAAGGAGCCAUGCCUUGAUUUACAUUUGUCUUUAUAGCUGCUUUUAUUAAAUACGACCUAAUACCUGACUAGAUUAAAACCUAUGCUUUAACAGUAGUUCACUAACAGUUCCUUACUGUUCAGUACAGAUUGUGUUCUUAUAUCCCGGAAAAAGAAUAUUAUAACUUCUUAAUGCCACUCUUCAGAGGGGGAGAAAAGCUAUUUUAGUGCAGAGGAGAAAGAUCUAUAUACUAUGACUCACUUCACUUUAAAAAAAAGAAAAGGCGGACGGAAAUGAUGCGGAGAGAUUGGGAAGUUCUAGUCAUCUUGAGCGACCCAUUAGGUCUAAAUGGUCUUGUUUAGCCCUGGUUUGAGUGGACUAAAUUUAGGUGUCUGAUCACCACUUUGGAAAUGGUGUAAAGACCUUUGUAAUUGUCUGGACUAGUAUUAAAUUAACUGGGCACACAAGUAGAAACAGCAGAGGGAAGAAUUUUUUGCUAUCAUUAUUUGUUUGACAUCACUGGCAUAUUUAUAGGAAUACUUUGGUACUUUUGGAAGUAAACCAUGCCAGAUGGUUCUGAAAAGUCCUCUGGGGGAUAAUGGUAAUACAGAAGUUUUCAACCAGAUAUCCACAGUUGGGCUCAUUGGCCUCCCCACUGCAUUUUCCAUUUUAGCUCCUCAAAACCUGUAAAAAUUCCUGGUUUUGAAUAAUGUGGUGAAAUGUAUAAGAACUUCAUGAUAGAAAAAUGAGUAAGAAAUUUCCUGUAGGGGGUUUCAGACUAGAAACUGCUGAAAUAACUGCCCUUUCUUCCUUCCUUCCUUCCUUCUUUCUUUCUUUUCUGUGAUUACCUGUUUUCUUUGGCUGAUCUUUUAAGUUACAGAAUUCUUGGGACAAUUUUUGUUCUAUGCAGUACUUUUAAUUGCAGAUACUUUCUCUUAGUCCUUCUUCAGCCCAUAUAUAUUUUGCACAAUCUGGUACUUCGCCAUAUAGCAUUUGUUAAUUAUUUCCUGUUAACUAAUUGAUGCUGACAAGUAGGCUGGACAUGUUUCUUUUUACUGCCUGUGUUGGGGAAAACUGGAAUUCUAGCCAGGUCAUUGUUUCUGAGAUGCUGUAGUUUUGUCACCAGUCUCUUGAUUGCAUGUUUUGAGGAUCCAGGAGUGCUGGGGACUUAGCUGCAGUUUUUGACCCCUUCUGCCACAUUUUGUUGGUUGAUUACCAUGCCUUCCUUCUCCCCACUCCAGUGGUUCUCACAUUUUGCCUAAAAUCUGCAGCUGUUUCUAGUUUCCCAUUGCAGAAAUCAGUGAAACCAGUUUUGUAUUAAUAUGGUGUUCCUCUUAAGUCUCGCCACAUCCUUCCAAUACGUACAUUCUUCAUAUUAUCUAUAGAAUAACUGUUUAAAAAACAGAUCUCCAGACACAAAAUGACAAAUAUUAUGUAAUCUUACUCGGGGAUUCAGAGAAUCAGAAACAAGAAUACAGGUAACCAGAGGCUGGGCAGGGGAUAGGGAAUGGGGAAUUAAAGCUUAAUUGGUACAUAGUUUCUGUUGCGGGUGCAUCAUGGUGUACAACAUUGUGAAUGUAAUUAACACUGCUGAAUUAUAUGUCUGAAUAGGUUGUAUAUUUGUUACUAAAAUAAACAUUUUAAAAAGGAAAUUUUGAAAAAACAAAGAUCUUAGCCUGUCCUUCCUCUCAUUGAACUAUGUCUGGUACUUCAUGUUAUCUGUAAAAUCCAGGUUCCAGCAUCCCCCUCCCCCACAGGCCUUCUAUUCUAGCCACACCAGCCAAUGCAGUGUUCUCCAAAUUCAUCCUUACCUUUCAUUCCUUUAUACCUUUGCACAGCACUUGGUCUAAAAUGCCUUUCUCUCCCUCUGUAGCUUGCACCUCCCAGCUCAACCAUGCGCCUCCUUGCACUAGUGUUUUGCUCUCUUACCUGUUUCCAUACAGUUUCAUGUAUCUCUCUGCUAAAGCCCUUCUCUCAUUGUAGCUGUUUCAUUACAUUUGGUGUCUGUCUUCUCUAGAGUCCACGUUUCCUGAGGUCAGCAAGCCCAUCCUUCUCAACAGUGUCCUUUGCACUAGGCGCAAAGUAAGUGCCUAAUGAAUGCUGGGAGUGAAUUGGUGUCAGGACCUUGCCUAAGCCCUAACAGUAAAAAUCUAUAGAAGACAUGGUUCCUAAUUCUCAUCUUAGUGGCGGAAAUGAUAGAAGCAAAUAGAUUAGCCAGCAUUUGUACCAAUAGCAGAGGUCACUCUGGAAGAAAAUCUCCCAUUUUGUGUCCUGGCUGAUGAGAGUCUAGUUUUGCCUACUGCGGCUGCCUUAGAAGACAGGCUUGAG